rnacentral:rRNA from 1 species
AUUGAACGCUGGCGGCAUGCCUUACACAUGCAAGUCGAACGGCAGCACGGGUGCUUGCACCUGGUGGCGAGUGGCGAACGGGUGAGUAAUAUAUCGGAACGUACCUUAUUGUGGGGGAUAACGCAGCGAAAGCUGUGCUAAUACCGCAUAAUCCCUAAGGGGGAAAGCGGGGGACCGUAAGGCCUCGCGCAAUUAGAGCGGCCGAUACCUGAUUAGCUAGUUGGUGAGGUAAAGGCUCACCAAGGCAACGAUCAGUAGCUGGUCCGAGAGGACGAUCAGCCACACGGGGACUGAAACACGGCCCAGACUCCUACGGGAGGCAGCAGUGGGGAAUUUUGGACAAUGGGGGCAACCCUGAUCCAGCAAUGCCGGGUGAGUGAAGAAGGCCUUCGGGUUGUAAAGCUCUUUUGUCAGGGAAGAAACAGCAGCUCUAACACAGUAUGCGAAUGACGGUACCUGAAGAAUAAGCACCGGCUAACUACGUGCCAGCAGCCGCCGUAA